rnacentral:rRNA from 1 species
AUUGAACGCUGGCGGCAGGCCUAACACAUGCAAGUCGAGCGGAUGAAGGGAGCUUGCUCCUGGAUUCAGCGGCGGACGGGUGAGUAAUGCCUAGGAAUCUGCCUGGUAGUGGGGGAUAACGUCCGGAAACGGGCGCUAAUACCGCAUACGUCCUGAGGGAGAAAGCGGGGGAUCUUCGGACCUCACGCUAUCAGAUGAGCCUAGGUCGGAUUAGCUAGUUGGUGGGGUAAAGGCCUACCAAGGCGACGAUCCGUAACUGGUCUGAGAGGAUGAUCAGUCACACUGGAACUGAGACACGGUCCAGACUCCUACGGGAGGCAGCAGUGGGGAAUAUUGGACAAUGGGCGAAAGCCUGAUCCAGUCAUGCCGCGUGUGUGAAGAAGGUCUUCGGAUUGUAAAGCACUUUAAGUUGGGAGGAAGGGCAGUAAGUUAAUACCUUGCUGUUUUGACGUUACCAACAGAAUAAGCACCGGCUAACUUCGUG